rnacentral:lncRNA from 1 species
GUAACGCGGGUGCUGCGUACUGUGAGUAAGCCAAUUGGCCACAUCGCUAUCGGGAGGGGUGGUACCAACCGGAAACUAGGCCACGUGACCCGGAAGCGGCUACUGCCACGGCUGGUGCGCCUGCGUACUUACGGCCAUGUCUCCGAGCUGCGCUCGGGCGGCUUCUCUGGCGCUUAAGUGACAGGAGGAUGGGGUUCCGCGGCGCCCUUAGCUGACCUCGUGGUGCAAGAUAGGGAAGGUCCGGACUGCAAAGAGCCGAGUUCGAGUUCCAAUGACUCUCCUUGCCCCAAAAGAGUGGGACAGAGAGGCUUCGCCAGAGUCUCCCCGGGCCUGCCUCGCCCGUUCUCAGUGCUGCGGACCGUAUGAGUUACUGUCCGUCGUGGGCUCCAAAGUCCCGGCAGCACUUCGUCUUCGACAUCCCGCUUCCUUCACACGGGGUCGCCCCCGCCAGCCGCCUGGGUUCCAGUUUACUUUUGCCGACGACCUCCUCUGCCUGGCAUGUCCUUCCUCUCAAAUGUCACAUCUGUGAAGCCUCACCUAAAACUCUGUUUCUGAGAUCGACACCUCCAAGAUUAAACUCAUUGGUUAUGCUCCUAAUGUUGGUCUGGGAAUCAGAAACUGAGGACUGCAGACUUACUGGUGAUGUAUUGACAGUCUCAUCUCUGUUUACCUAGCCCCAAAAAAGGUAGAGGUGAGGGUAGGGAGGGGAAGGCAUUAUGGGAAAAAUAAUUAGCAGCUGAAAGCAGCUAUUACAUAAUCUUGGCUGCUUAUUAAUUUAGCAGAAGAAAUGGCUUAUUAAAUUCUAAUAGCAGCAGCGCAACUGCAAACAACCUAGCAAUUAACAGUGCAGGGCCCAUUAUUUUGUUAAUAUGUUCUCUUCUUUUGGCAAGGGUAUGAGAACAAAAUUUAUAGAAGCAGAUGGUCUUUUUCAGUAGAUUAUAGAUAGUUUAUUCCCCAGUCUUAGUAUUAAGUGAUAAUUGUGCAUUCACUGUGAAAGAAAAAAGAAACGCAGUUGCCAUCUUUGUUAGUAAUUAAUUGCUUGACUUUGAUUCCCACAAUUUCCAAAUUGUAGCCUUUGUUAUGUAUAUUUCUUCUUAUCUAGUAUCUUUUUCACCUGUCCUGUCAAAAGGGUAUCACUUUCAAUCUUUUUUGUUUGUUUUCUGGAUGAUCCUGAUUUCUUGGUGUUAAUAAUAUAAAAAUUAGAAAACAAAAUUAUUUUUAAACAAUUAAAAAUCAGAUUUUAUACUCAUUUCCUAAAUAUUAAAAAAGUACCUUGCUGGCAUUUAUGCUAAAUGCAAGAGAUGAGGGGGAAAUAAGGAUUCUACCUUCUAACAAUAAAAUUGUUUAUGUAAUUGUUCAAAGUUCUCAAAAUAAUUUUAAUUGCCUAUAAAUGUAUGAUGGCCAUAUGUUUUUAUCCACUCUCCUUCUCAAAAGUCCAUUAAAUGAAAAAAACAAAACAAGGGCCGGGGAUUUAGCUCAGUGGUUCCACCGCCUGCCUCGCAAGCAGAAGGUCCUGAGUUCGAUCCCUGGUACCAAAAAAAAAAACAACAAAAAAACAAAAAACAAGCCCAGGAUGGGGGGAGUGUUUAAAACAUACCCACAUGGACAAUAUGAGAGAAGCGUAACCACAUGGACAUCAACAGAAUAACUUAUCAUGAAUAUUUCAAUAAAGUGUCAGAGUAUACUAUCAACUUAUCGUUUAAACACUGAUGAUUUAAAUAAAAUUGUAAUGUAUUAAGAAUAUAGAGGAGCAGAAGUUGAAAUAAUGCUAAAAUAGAUACUAUCUGAAAUAAAUUCAGAAAUAGAAUUAUUAAGAUAUUCCUUAAAUACCAGGAACUAAAAUCCAGAAGCAAUAGUGAAUUUCUUUCCAGGGACAGAAUCUUGAGGUAGGAUGUCAUAAAGGCAAUUAUUAUAUUUUAUUUUAAUGUUUUACUUAAAUAAUUUAGAAAUAUUUUAAUGAAGUAGAUAAAAACCUAGUUAGUUGUUAACUCUAUAUUAUGGGCUCCUAUGGAAUUCCUUUAGCUAAUCUAGAUUAUUCAGAAAUUACUAAAUAAAAAUGUCUAAUAAUGGAAUUCAGUGCUGAAACUAUAUACAAGAUAUGUUUUUAAAAGAUGCUUUGGGUUUGUGAAUUUGCAUCUCCAAAGAUAAAGUUGUUCCAAGGAGAAAACUGGUCAAAAAUAAUGAGAAUUAGUGAAUCAGAUCAUUUCAAAAUAGAGCUGUCGCUCCCAAAGUCCUCAACAAUGAGCUAAAGAGAAAUGUAGAACAUAUGCUCUUUCUUAAGAUUAAUUUCCAUUGCUUUGAAUAAAUUGCAGCAAAAUUACGAUUCGACUAUUAAUAUUAGGUUAAAGCAGUGGUUCUCAACCUGGGCAAAUUUCCCCCAGGGGACACUUGGCACUGCUUGGAGACAUUUUACUUGUCACAACUAGGAGUAGGUGGUGCUGCUACUAGUGGUUAGAGAGUGGGUUGCUGCUCAAUGUCCUACAGGGCACAGGACAGUCCCCACGACCAAGAAUGACCAGCCCCAAAUGACGACAGUGCCAAGGUUGAGAAACCCUGGAUUAGUCACUGAAAAGGUCUUUUACAGACAUCUCAAGAAGCAGAACAAGCACCAGGUUCAUAGGAGCUUUAUUUUUCCUCCUCUUUCUCAGAGGAGGAGUCAGAGACAUUAUUCUUAAUAUUUGGUACAUAAAAUCUUCAACUGCUGGAAAGGCUGGCCACAUACAUGAGGCAGUCAGUAACUAGAAUAAAUUUUUCAAAUAGAAUUUUUUUAAAAAGGGACCCCAGAACAAAGUUACUUAAGAACUUAAAUCCAUGAGAUGACUAUUCCAUCCAUUUGUUGAUUUAUCCCAAAUGCUUAUUAUGUGUCUUUGUUGGUAGUAAUAGGGGUACAACGAUAAAUAAGAUACUGACUCAGCCCUUAAACUGCCAACACAGAAUUUCUCCUGACACAGAAUUCCAAGUCUUUUGGAGACAAACAGUAGAUGGUCACAGGAACAGUCACUAGUUACAUAUAAAUACAUUUUCUUUUAGGAAAUGACUAGAGAUGCUUCACAGAACUUUAGAUUUCUGUGACUGACACCUUUAAAAACUAUUUGACCUCAUGACUUCCCAGGGCUUGUAGCAGCAAUCUUUUCAUUCUGUGAAUUUUUGACAGCACUCUUAGUUCACAACAAUGUGAAAGGGAGAUCCUACGUUUUUAACAAAUAAUUUCAAAUAAUGUUUUGUCUUAGUUCUUGAAAUAAUCUAAUUCUAAAUAACUAAACCAGCUGUUCUAGAAUGCUCUCUUAGGGGACUUUGGAAAACAUAUUGCUGGGCCUCAUUCUUAGAGUCUCUCAUGCAACAGUUCUGAUUUGAGGUUUAAAAAUGUGUUUCUAACAAGUUAUGAAGUAGAGCUGUUGGUCUGGGGGCACUUUGAGAACCACUCCUCUAUACCAAAAAAAAAAAAAAAGAAGAAGAAGAAAAGUUGUGCUAUUCAACUGUAAAGUUCUUAAAGUCAGCAAUUAUAAUUUCCCAGACAAAUGAUCUAAAGAAAAAUUGAUAUCUGAUUGUUUUUAUCAUUGACCUCAUUAAGUCAGAUAACAUUAAGGAGAGUAAUAUUCCCAGUUAUGUGGACCUAAAGCUAAAUCUGUAUGUACAACUCAGAGUAAUAUGGCCAUUAUAUGCCCUGUACAAACUAAUGUACUGUAAGAGUCAAAGGUGGAAAUUGGAGUGCUUAAAGCAAGGUAAAGUUUGCACUGUAAAAAUCAGAUAUUUAUUUGAUUACUAUCACUAUUCCAAUUAUUUAUGACAAGUAGGACUCACCUCUGAAAUAUCACAAACAGGGCAUAGAAAGGAGGGAGUUGAGAGGGAACAGCUACAUAGAAUCAGUAUCCCUGGGUAAAAGACAGACCAGCACGUAGUAAUGAAAAUCCGCUCUUUCUGGGCCAGGGGAUUUAGCUCAGUGGCAUUGUGCCUGCCUGGCAAGCACAAGGUCCUGAGUUCAGUCCCUGGUACCAAAAAGAAAAAAAAAAUUGCUCUUUCUCUCCCUUAGCUAGCAUGCCACUAGACCCAGUUCCUCAGCCUCCUCUGUGGGUAGGUGUGCUGAAGGAGAAGACUCAACCAAUGAAAUGUGGACGGAAGAGAUAGACAGCCAGGCCCAUGAUCGCACCCAUCCUGCCCAACCCUCCUUUUGCCACCUGGAUGGUGAUCCCCAGGGAAUCCUUGAAAGUCAUGUGUUGCACAUGACUCUGUCUCUGUCAGUCUAGGUUCCUAAAUGACUGCAUGGAACAGACAUACUCAGACUACUACCACCUCCUCCCCUCCUCCCAUCAGUUGUACUUGAAGUGACUGAGAAGUUGUAUUAAACCACUGAUUUGUAUUAAUACCUUUGUAUUAAACCACUGAUUUUUCCAGGUUUAUCUGUUAUAGUUGCUAGGGCUAUCUUUGCAAGCUGUUUUGUACUCAGUUUCAAAGAGAGCCAAAAUGAUCGGAAAAGCAGGUGAAUUUUUCAAGUGGAUGGCUCUUUUUUAUUGUAAUCCUGCUUUCUGUGCUCCAUCAUGUGUCUCCCUUCCUUUGAUGUUUGAAGACAAUCAUCACACAAUCUGAGGGCAGAAUUUAAAA